GCUUACGGCCAUACCAUCCUGAACACGCCCGAUCUCGUCAGAUCUCGGAAGCUAAGCAGGAUCGGGCCUGGUUAGUACUUGGAUGGGAGACCGCCUGGAAAUAACAGGUGCAGUAAACU
rnacentral:rRNA from 1 species